rnacentral:pre_miRNA from 1 species
CAGCUACUCCCUCCAUUCUGAAUUACUUGUCGCAGGUAUGAAUGUAUCUAAAUGUAUUUUAGUUCUGGAUACAUUCAUUUCUGCGACGAGUAAUUUGGAACGGAGGGAGUAGAUU